UUGCAGCUUCUGCAUUUCCAGUUUUUCACGAAGUCUCUCGGUAAUGAAAGGACAGCAAAGAAAGAAAAGCUAGAACAUUUGAAAACGAGAAGAUGAAAAUAAUUGCAUGUCGGCAAUCUUGUUACAUCGGGAACGCAUGCUCAGGGGCCUUGCGGCUGCUGCUGCUGCUUUCGCUGCUGCUGCAUGCUGCUGCCGCCUAGAGGAGGCGCCGAACCUGUGCCGAACCUUCGAGCUUGGCGAGAGGUUUCGCUCGGCGCGUCGUCGCUUUCGCACGGUUCUGGUCGUAGUGUUCUCUCCCCGUGUGGAGCCACAACCGAACUUCACUUGGCUGCUUUUCAGCGAGAGGAGUUCUCCUCUGGAGGUUCUCCUUGUAUCGCAUUU